AUCGCUUCUCGGCCUUUUGGCUAAGAUCAAGUGUAGUAUCUGUUCUUAUCAGUUUAAUAUCUGAUACGUCCUCUAUCUGAGGACAAUAUAUUAAAUGGAUUUUUGAAACUAGGAGUUGGAAGAGGAGCUUGCUCCGUCCACUCCACGCAUCGACCUGGUAUUGCAGUACUUCCAGGAACGGUGCAUCCCCU
ensembl:snRNA U2 U2 spliceosomal RNA